GCCAGUGUGGUGUAGUGGUUUGAACAUUGGACUAUCACCCAGAGACCAGGGUUUGAAUCCCCGCUGUGUAA